rnacentral:lncRNA from 1 species
GCCUUGUGAAGGAAACGUACUCUUACUCCUUCUGCAGAUGUGGAGACAGAGGCAGAAAAAAAGCCAUGCCCAAAGUGACACAGGUUUGAACUGAAACAUUAGCUCUUCCUGGGUCUCAAGCCUGUGGGCCUCCAGACUGGAAGUACACCGUUGGCUCUCCUGGGAUCUCCAGCUUGCCAAUUUACCCUGCGGAUCUUGGGAUUUGCCAGCUGCCAUAAUUUUGUUGAUGAAAUGAAAAAAAAAUGCAAGGCUGAGUAUGGAAAGACUGUGUAAAUGGAGUUCUCAUUCAGUGUUGCGGCCAAGGAGAACUCUGCACAUGACAAGACAGAGACUUCCUUUGGGUCUGUCAUUUGGUGCUUCUGUCAAUAAGUUCAUCAUCAUGUCAUUAGCUUCUCUAAGGAUGUCCGGGAUCUGAAGGAGAAGCCCCCCAAUAUUGACAGCCUUAGAGAAGGAGCAGUCUUCAUUCUGAAGCUUAAGAGUUUUGAGCUUACACAUAGAAGAUUAAUCUCCUCUGAAUCUGCUCUGCUGGAGAGAUCACCUGGAGAACCUACAUAGAGUCCUAGCUCUCACCCAUUUCAGUCUUCCCAGCGCAAGUGCCGGCCAAGUGCGUGAGAUAGAUUCCUGAGAGUGAGAUUCCUGGGUUAAAAGAGAUUCCUGGGUCAAAAGUGCAUUUUUAUUUUGAAUAUAUGUUGCCAGGCUUCUUUCCAAAAUGGUGGUAAUAAGUAACAUGUCUACAAGUGAAGAAUAUGAGUACCUUCCUCCCAGCAUCGCCAGCAAUCAGUGUUACCAUAUUUUCGAACCCUUGGCUCUGAGUGGAUAUAUAAGGUAAUACUUCAUUAUUCCCUGUCUACUCACAAACUUGAGCAUCUUUUUAUAUGUCUGUGGUCCAUUUGAAUUUUCUGUUCUGCAAUUUACUUUUAUGUAGUCUUUACCAUUUUGUUUUUUGAUAAUAUGUGAUAAUCUUGUAUAUUACAGAUAGUGGUCCUUUAUCUGUCAUGUGCAUUGUUAUUUCUCCCCAUUCUUCCCAUUUUAUUGAUUUUGCAGUACCUUUUGGCAUGUAUUUAUUUUUUAUUCUUAUGGUCAGUUAUGUCAAUAUUCUUUUUAUUGCUUUUGGGUUUUCAGUGUUUAUUGGGGUCUCCCCAAUCCCUAGGUUGUGUAUGUAUAUGGCCCCUUUGUUAUCUGUAUUUUACAUUUAAAUAGUUUAUUUACUUUUUUCUUUACAUUUAGUGUGAGGUAGAUAUCCAACCUUAUUUUUCUUUGAAAGGAUAAUCACCUGAGUUAGGAUUAUAUAUUAAAUAAUCUUUCAUUUUUCCACUGUCUUGGCAUACUCCCUUUGCCAUAUGUUACUUUUUUUAUAUAUACCGUGAUUGAUUUUUGGAAUAUUUGUGUGGUUUCUCUGUUUGCCUAUUACUAUUCAGUACUACAUUGGUAUGAGUGCAGAGGAGUUGACAUUCAGGUCACGUUCUGUACUGGUUAGUUGUUAUUGCUCAGAGGCUUACAGCAAGAAACAUUUUUUUUAAAUCACUCUCUUAUUUUGUGAGUUGGCUGGGUAGCUCUUCUGGCCUGAGUCACUUUGCUGGGCUUGCCCAUAGACCUGUGGUCAGCUGGUGGUUUGGCCAGUAGCUGGAUGGUUUAGGUUGGUCAUACUCAUGUGUCUGACAGCUGGUAGGCUAUUCACAUUGGUAGGCUGCCUCCAUUUCUUCCACCUGACUUCUCAUCCUCCAGCAGGCUAAUUCAGGCUCGAGUCCACGGUAGUCUCAGAAUUCUGUGUGUGGCAAGAGAAAGAAAGCCUUAACAUGCAAGCACUUUCAACCUUUGUUUGCAUCAUGUUUGCUCAUGUCUAUUGGUCAAAGCAAGUCAAAUGGCCAAAUUCAGAUUCAAGAGAGGUUCAGAUUCAAGAAAGGAAAAAAUAUACUCUGCCCCUGGAUGCAAGAGGUGUACAUGCAGAAACAGGAAGGGUUUGUUGCCAUUUUUGGAAUCUACCACACCGUAAGAAUCUGAAUGAGAAUUUGUUUUCCAGAAUCAAAUCUGAUCCUUCUCUCUCCAGCUUGUAAAUCUCCCAUGGCACCCUUGAUCUUCAGAAUUAACUCCAGAACUCUUAAUAUGGCAUGGUCUGGUCCCUGCCUACCUUGGCAGACUCAUGUCAGCAAUGCCCAUUCACAAUGCCCUGUGUUCCAACAUGCAGAACCAUUUUAUCUUCCUCUCUCCUGUGCCUUUGCCCCAAUUAAGCUUGUGGUAAGGGAUCCUUAUCUCCUCCCUCCGUGUUUCUGCUUUGUUCCACCCUGGAGUCAAAGAUUUUCCUCUGUCUCAUCACCCCCUUGUUGUUCCUAUCCAAAAGAGAAAUGACCAUUUUUCUUGGAGACAGCUGGCAUCCCUUGGGCUUCACACUUGUGUGGAGAUCCUUAAGAAAAAAGUCCCUGUAUUCUUGCACCUGCAACACUUGUGAGAAGCAGCCUCCCCUUUUAUUCCUCAUUACAUGUCGUCUAUCUACCAACACUGCUCCUUUCUCUGAGGAGGCAGCCCAUGUGUGACUGGGUAGAAAGUCACAGGUGAGGUAGGAGGUAAAAGACCCCAUCACAUUUUCCAAUCAGUAGCUUUACAUUUGAAAAUGUUUGGACCCUUGUCCAGUUAUUAAAAAAGCAAAUAAUUCCACCUCCUUUUAGUUAAUUGAUUCUCAUCCUUGUUAGUUACACUGUGGAGAGGAGGAGGGUCAUGUCCUAUGUCUUAUAUACCAGUGUCUGGGAUAUUCUUCUCCUCCUUCUCACUUAUCUAUCCUUUCAAUUAAUAUUCACUGACUUCCCACUGUGUGCAAGGUGCUGAAAAUACAGUCAUGGGUAGGUCAACAUGGUCUCUGUUUUGACAGUGUUUGUGGGUCAAAGUAAAUCUCUUGUAAAGUCAGCUUAAGGAAGCAUGAUAACACAAUAAUAAGGAAAAAUCACCUUUGAAUCUGAGGUCACACUCAGAAGAACUACUAUGACCCCAAUCCCUUAACUUUCCUUCCCCUCCCUUCAGAAUCCCUGAAGUUUCAUGUAUUCUCCUUGGUGAUUAGUAAAGUGUUCUUCUGGUAAUUCCAGGACUGGUAUCUAUUCUCUGCUUUGUGGCUGAAGCCAGAGCUGCUGAUUCUGUCUUGGAUUCAACUCUCUGAGACCGUAGACACUGGACCCUGACAUUCUCACUGCAGCUCUGCAGCUCUGUUUGGGAAGGCGUCACUCCACUGGGGUUAGAACUGUCUGUUUAGCUCCUCUCUGUAGGAGUGCUAGACUUUCAGUUUCUUAUGGGCUUUUCAUUUUUUUAGGAUCUUGGGACAAAUUAUCUGAUGCAGAGAACAUUUUAAUAGAAACACCCUUUUUUUACACCCUAAGGCAUACUGUUGUUAUUAUUAUUGUUAAACUAAUAUUUAGUAUAUACUUGCUGCAUGCCAAAAAUACUUCCUCUUUAAUUCUUAUAGCAACAUUGAGAGUUAAAUCUACCCAUUUUACAGAUGAGAGAUCAAAGGCUCAGAGAAGAGAAGAGCCAUGCUCAGAGACAAGAAAUCCUUUCUCUGUUCCUCAAUCUUAUUCCCAGUUUCCAAGUAUUGAUUUUCAGCCUCAGAGUAUUCUCUCCUAUUCUUUCUAGGAGAUCUUUCAGGUUCUAAAGCAAAAAGCUUGCUUGUGGCCUGUCCUGGCUGUCUAAGGACCCUAAGUUAGCAAACAGAUUAGGUCUUGCCUCUUUCUCAACACAGUAGGACUUAUUCCACUCUACUGUUUGCAUCGAUAAUGUGCCUUUUUUGGGUUGAGUUGUUGGGAGUGGACUCUGUCCUCUUCACCUCUGAAGUCUUGGAGCCCAGCUCAGGAUCUGGCACAUCGCAAUGAAUGCACCUGUUUAAUUAUGAAGAUGAGAUAGGGACUGGACUUUUGCUCUGAUCUAAGAUGUAGAUAUAAUCCAAGUCCCCAGGGAAGUGUACCUGCAUGGAGCUCUGAGUAUUAUAGGACAAAUAAUCACUGUUUUCAUUGUCAAGCCUCUGAUCUUCUGGUGGAACCACCUUACCUGCUAAUGAGUCAGAAAUAGAACACAAAUAAUAGUGGCUACUAUUUAUGGUGUGGUGAUUAUAUGCUCACUCUGAUGAUAAAAUAUUUACAUGGAUUAUCUCAUUUAGUAUUCAUAACACUGAAUAAGAAUGCACUUCUGUUUUUCCUAUUUUAUGGAUGAGAACCCUAUAGUAUAGAAAAACUAAGUAACUUGCCAAUGUCACACUCCAAGUGGCAGAGAUAGGCUUCAAGCAAAGGUAAUAUAACUCCAGUACCUGAGUCUUUAAAAGAGAGAUGACAAACAAUUUCUUCAUGACAUUUCAGAAAAUGUCUUGGAAGCCACAUGGGGUUUUGUUUUGUUUUGGCAUUAACAAGAGCAGUAGGACUGGAGCUGACCCAGUAGUGAGUCAGAAGUCCCAGAUCCCUGUCCUGACUCUGACAACUCGCAUAGUCUUCCUGGGCUACAAUGUCUUCAUUUGCAGAAUGAUAGUUGGAGCUAGCUGGUCAUGACAAAGAUGGCACGGGUUUUACAGUCAGACAAAGUCUAAAAUUGAUUUCACCACAUACUAACCAUGUGCUAGGGUGAGUGACUUAAUCAUUCUAAACAUCUUUUUUUCAUAUCUGGAGUGCGCAUAAUUUAUGAUUUAUUAACUUAUUAUUUGUUAUAAUAAAAGCUGUUGGAGGCAGAUAAAUGUGUUAUAUAAACAGAAAAGCUCAGGUGGGGCUUUUUACAGAUGCCCAGAUCAGUGCUCCAUGACAUCCUCAGGUCCUCCUGCAGGUAAGUCUGGAAGCAGGAUGCAGUUCUCAGAUUCCUGCCUCUCCAUAGCAUCUUUACAUUCAUUGGUGUUCCAGUCCAAGCAGACUUCGUGAUCUGUGCCUGUGGGGCUUGUGGUUUGAAUGUCUAUGGAGUGUGGCUCCUUGGCAGCCAAAAUCAAUGCCAGGAUUCUCCCGAUGGCUCCUUGUUUUAACAACUCAGUUUUCUUGGCACAACCUUUGACUGCCCUGGGUAUAGGAUUCCUGUAUUUUCUCAAUAUCCUCUCUCUGAAGGGCUUGAGGGAGUCUGAGCAAUCCUACCACCCUUCCUUCAUUUUAUACUCUUGGGAUCUUUACUAAGGGACUGCUAUACACAGGGGGAAAAAGAAAAACAAAACCCUCAACUGACAGAAAAAUGCUUUGUUAAUAGCCAAGAAUCCCAGACACGCUAAUAUACAAAUCUUUGACAGCUUUGAAAUAGAAUGUGACAAAGUAGGGAUGAAGUGGGGUGUCUUGUCUCCCCCAAAUUUAGAGUCAUGGGCUAAAGCAUGCGUAUAAGGGAAGGAAGAUUUAAGCACUGAGUUCCCUGAAAAUAUUCACUCAACCAAGCAGAUGCGUGGGAAGAUGGAAGCCAAGAAGGGGGACUAGCCUGCCCUACAUCUCAGGCUCUGCCCAGGAGAGUUUAUUGCACCAGGAGACAGGAUGAGAAAGAGAUGGGGCAACCUGGGUUCCUGCCCUACAAGGCACAGUGGCCGUGCCCUCCAGUAAAUGUGGCCCAAUGAAUACAGGGAUCUGAUCAGUCAACUCAACAGCACCUCUUUCUGGAAGAGGGAUUCAGGAUGAAGUAGAGAUGGAUAGCCCUGGCAUGAAAAACAAUCUUUGACAUUUGAAGGAAAAGUUCUGGAAAUAUCCUCCCCUAUGACUUAUUAAUCACAAAGGAUUUAAUAUACUCCCUUUUCAAACAGCCAGAUAAUUCACUGGAGAAAAAAAAUUCUUGUUAAAUUUCUAGAUUAUCAAGGUGGGAAGGAUUAUUGAAGACAUCUAGUUUACCAACUCAUCUUUUGGAUGAAUAAAUUAAUAAACUAAGGUCUAGAAAAAAGAAGUGAUUUGCCUAAAGUAGAAUUCCAGGAGGGCCAGGCCAUGGCUUAGUGGUUAAGUUUGCGUGCUCCAAUUAGGCGGCCUGAGGUUUGCUGAUUCGGAUCCAGCUUGAAGAGCACAGCUCAUCAAGCCAUGCUGUAGUGGUAUCCCACAGGGAGGAACUAGAAUGACUCGCAACUAAGGUAUAAAAUUAUGUACCGGGGAGAAAAAAAUGAAAGUGGAGAAUUGGCAACAGACAUUAACUCAGGGCCAAUCUUCCUCACCAAAAAAUAAAUAAAUAAGUGGAUAAAGCAAUACCUUUUUUAAAAAAAAGAAUUCUAGGGUUCCAGAUUACUUAAUUUAUACCUCUAAUCUGGAAAUGCUGUUAUAUUGUUUUCUUCAUUUCUUUUUCCUCUUAUGCUUCUUCCUUCUUGUCACUUUUUUCCCUUCUAAGCCUAGUGUAUACCCCACCUAUAUUCACAAAGGAUUUAUUAAUAUACACAGAAGAAUAUUAAUAGAGCAAUUCAUUCCUAGGUAUGUACCCAGUAGAAACAAGGUCACAUAUCCACCAAAAUAAUUAUACAUAUAUGUUCUUGUCAGCUUUAUUGAUAAACUGUCAAACUAGAAACAACUCAUAUGCCCAUCAACAGAAACAUGGGUAAAAUAUUGUGAUAUAUUUAUACUACAGAAUACCAAGCAGCAAUAAAAAGGACAAACUAUUGGUAAACACAACAACAUAGUUGGACUUUAAAGACAUUAUAUUAAAUAAGAGAAGCCAGACACAGAGGAUAGUAAACCCUAUGAUUCAAUUUAUAUGAAGUUCAAGAAUGGCCAAAACUAAUCUAUGGAUGGGAGUCAGAGUAAUGAGGUUGAAUAUGGUAGAUCUUGAUUGGGAAGAAGCACAAGGUAAGCUUAUAGGAGCGUAAAAAUAUUCUAUAUCUUGUUCAGGGUGUUGGUUAUAUAAGCGCAUACAUGUGCAAAAAAUACAUUGGCCUGUGCACUUUAUAGUAUAUAAAUUAUACCUAUGUUUAAAAAAAUCUUUCAAAGAGCAAUAGAAAAGCUGGAACUAUGCUAAUGUGGAGGAGAAUUAACAUAUCCAAAACCUAGGCUAACAGAUUACUGUAAUUGAAUAUCAAAUUUAAUUUUGAAAUAGCAGCAAAUGAAAAAAUUCCUAAUCAUUUGCUGCUCCCGUUUUCUUAAAUGAAAAUUAAAAUCAUCAGGAGAGAGAUAUUUUAGAAGCCAUAUUCUCCUUCUAAAAUGAACUUAUCAUGUAAUAUUUUAAAUAAAAGACAUUGAACAAUAUAAUGGACAAAAUCUCUGAUUGUAACUCAGUAGAAAUGUUGAGAUAUCUUAAUACGCCCAUUUUUUUUCUACCAGUCUUUCAUAAAGCUGACACAUAUAUAUAAUGAUGAUAUUUUCUUAGAGGAAAAUAAGUUAAUGAGAUCCAGGUGAGCAUCAGUUAGCUAACUCCCAGAGACAGAGAGCUUAGCCCAACACAUCUCCACAGACAUACACAGGCGUCACCUGGGGAUCUUGUUAAAAUGUGAUGUGGAUUCAGCAGGUCAGGAAUGGGGCAGAGAUUCUUUCGUUUCUAGCAAAUCCCCAGGUGAUGCUUUUGCUUUUGGAACAAGGACCACACUUUGAGUAACAAGGACAAGGACUUAGACCACUUAGGAAGUGUGUUUACUCAUCAUUUGUAUUAUUUAUAUUGGGAUUAUUGUUAAAAGUUAGAUUUCUGGUCUCCCUUUCCCCAGGAGGUGGGAUCAAGGAUGCUGCUUCUUUUAAAAAAUAAAUUUCAAGAAGAGUAUGGUGUACACUAAAAUUUUGGAGCCGCUGACUUAGAGAAAUGGAUUUAUGGCAUGCCCCGUACAAUUUCCUGGGAGUAUAAUUGUUGUAGCUGGUUUCACACAACAGGAGAAAGAAAGGGAAAGGGAAAGAACAUAUUUUCAAGGCCUUAUAUACAUCAGUCACUUAUUGGAUGUGCAAUUAACUUUAGUUAAUUUAAUCCUAAUGAAUAUUCUAUGAGGUAGGAAUUGUCAAUAUUCUAGAAUUAAAAAGUAACAGAUGAUCAUUAUUGAGCACAUAAUAUUCCUAGACUCUGUACUAAAUGCUUUAAAACCACUAUCUGAAAGAGCAGCCCAGUGAAUAGGCUCUUGUUUCAUCUCAGUUUUACAGUUCAAACAAUGGAGCCUUAGAGAAAUUCAGUCCCUGUAGAAUCUGGCUGACGAGAGCUCAACCCUCAACCACUACGAGUAGGACCUCGCUCAACUGACACCACACAGCAAGCAGCGAGGCCACGAUGCAACCCAGAUAUUUUAUUUUUGUUUUUAUUUUUUACUUCAACUAUAAUACUUUGACCAAUUGGCACAUAUUAUUUUCCUUUCAUUUUGCUGUUAUUACUCCAUCCUUCAAUUAUUUUGCUUUGAGGAGCAUCAAUGAAAAGACUUAGUGGCUCAGACUGUAAUUGUUAACAUCUGUAUAGUAUUUUACAGUUCAUAGUAUUUUGUGUAUAAAAUACUUUGGCUGAUUUCAUUCUCUAAACCACAUGUAUCCUCAUUUUGUAAAUGAGGAAACCAAGGGACAGGGAAAGGUAAUUAAGUUAUCUGGAAUUCAGACUCCAAACUCCAAAUCUAUGAGCUUCCACUAGGCCAGGCUGCCAAGAGAAAAGGGAGCAGAAAAAUAACAUGGGAGAGUGGGGAAAGCAAUCACGAGGGACCCAGCAGCGUUGCAUUCCAGUCCUGGCUCUGCCACCAGCUGGAUCAACCUCCAGCAAUCUGAUUUCUGUCUUUGGGCAAUAGCUUUACAAUCUUAAACUAAGGGUUUAGAAUAGACAAGUUAUUUUCAAAUAGUGUUGGCUCAUUUUUAUCAAAACCCUUUCUCUGAAAGAAAUCUUACAACAGACUAUUAACUCAUAAAGCAAAUCUUACAGCAGACAGUUAACAACUGGAGCACUGGGAACCCACUCCUUUCCAUUCUAGGGCGGAGCAGGAAUUGUGUCUGUUUUGUUCACUAAGUUUCUAGUUCAGGGUGUGACACAUGUAGGUGCUCAUUAAAGGCUUGUUGAAUGUAUAAGGCUGCUUUAAGGAUUCCUUACAGCUCCACGGGGCACAGUGUCAAGACUAUCAGAUCAACAGGUCUCAGGCUUUCCUGUGAAUCUGAGGCCAAUUUCUUAGAAAGUAAAACUUCUCGUAAGAGUUCAGAUCAAAAGCGGAGAUUUCUCUGGCUACCCCUUCGUGUUCAGGGACCUCAGGUGUUUCCAGGCAAAGUCAUUUCCACAAGGACAGAGUUCUACAGUGUUAUUUUUCAUAUCAUUCUGUAGGAUAUGCUUAGGGAUUGCAUGCUUUUUCCUACAUUCUUUCUCAAGAAAAUACCAACUGAAUAACAAAGCAAAACAGACAAAAUCUAGAUUUACUUAGUAAUUUCUUUUUAAUUUUCUUACCCACUGUGAACUCUGUGCACAAAUCCUUC